rnacentral:tRNA from 2 species
GAGGUGUUAGUAAAAUUAUUACAUAGUCUUGUCAAGACUAAAUUACAGGUGAAACCCCAGUACACCUCA